rnacentral:rRNA from 1 species
GGCUUUUCAGGCGGAGCCUUCUUCUUUGUUCUUCCCGCUCAUAGCCCGAUCCAGGGCAAGCCCAGUGGCACGAAAGCGCCCGUGGUUUCCAGAAGGAAUCCGGCGCAGGCGUGCCCAGCGCUCAAACCCCGAAUAGCAAUAUAUCCCUUUCGUCUCGCGCACCCCCUCCUCCCCUCCCGAUCACCCCGUGCGUCGCCGUGCAUCUUCCCCGUCCGCUCGUCGCGUCGCCGUCCGCUUCCUCCUCCUCGCCGUCUCGGCCGCCAUCCGCCGGCGUCGCGUCCCUACAGACAGACCGGAGAAGGUAGGGUGGUCCGCUGUGAUGGCGCGCGUGUACGUCGGGAGCCUGGACCCUGCUGUGACGGCCCGGGAGCUCGAGGACGAGUUCCGCGUGUUCGGGGUUCUGCGGAGUGUAUGGGUUGCAAGGAAGCCACCUGGUUUUGCAUUUGUUGAUUUUGAUGACAGGAGGGAUGCUCAGGAUGCAAUUAAAGAUUUAGAUGGCAAGAAUGGUUGGAGAGUUGAGCUGUCUCGUAAUGCCAGCAGUGGUCGUGGUGGUCGUGAUCGAUCUGGUGGAUCUGAGAUGAAGUGUUAUGAGUGUGGUGAGUCUGGUCACUUUGCCCGUGAAUGCCGUCUGAGGAUUGGUUCUGGGGGCCUAGGCAGUGGAAGGCGUCGCAGCAGGAGUCGAAGCCGUAGCCGCAGUCGGAGCCCUAGGUACCGCAGGAGUCCAAGCUAUAGCAGAAGAAGCUACAGCCGCUCUCCAAGGCGUCGUAGUGUGUCACCGGCUCGUGGGCGCAAUGUGAGCAGGUCACCAGUCCGUGGACGUGACGAAUCUCCUGCCUAUGGCAAUGGGUAUCGUCGCAGCAGGAGCUAGAGCUGUACGUUAUGUCUGGAGAGUGUUCUGUUGCAAAUAUUGCUCUAUACCCGUCAGCUAUGAACAGUGUCAUGUCCCCCAUUUGAAACAUCCUCCAUCGACUGCUUGAGUUUGGUUAAGUUCCCCAUAACUUUUUCUGCCCUAUUAUGGUUGUGUUUGACUUUAUCUCUAGAUAAACUUAUGGAUGGGUGUAUCAUUAACUAAGACCAGCUGUCUUUUCUUUUGUGUGUUAAAAAGGCAUCGUCCUGCACUGCGUAAAAGCGUCGGCUGGCUACGGCUUUCAGUUAUGUCUUCAUGGUUUUGCUCUUCGCUCUUCGUUCAUCCCUCGCCCUCGCCUGCUCCAUGCAAACUUAGUAUUAGUUCCUGCAGACGACCCCUCUGCGUCGCGUGUUCUUCGUUGAAGAUACUGCUCGUCAAAAAGCAGAUGAGUCUCCAGAAGCUGCAUCUGCUUGCUUCUCUGGGACUGAUGGCAAGGUAUUUAGUUGAAUGGCCUGCACCCUUGCCUCCGAGCCCCAUGCCAGGUGAUGAGGUCAUCUGAGGGGCAAUUAUACCUGGGUAAGUAUUGCAGGAGGUGCAAGCCUGUCUAGACUGCGACGCAGAGUUCGGCAGUUGGCGUCGUUCUGCAUGCUCUUCGUUCUCAACUUAUCCCCGACAUGCUGCCUGAUGUUCUUCUCCACAUUCUGCUUUCUUCACUGCGCAUACGAUUGAGCUCCUUGGUAGCUUAUAUCUUCCAGUCACAUUCUGUUGCUGUUGGAUGCAACAUAUUCGUCAAUAGGUUUAUUCUAAUAAUUUGGUUGAGCCUGCACUUGUGAACCUGAAUUUUCAGAUCCUAGAUUGUUCUGACAUUGAAGUGUCAGACAUGUUAUAUAACCUUGAUCUGCUUUCUGUUCUCAAAUUGUGCGAAUGUUCCCUUGGUUAUAUUGGUCGGUAUGCCUUGCUGGCCUCCUUGCAGCAUGAAAUAAGUCAGUAAUGACCUAAGGCUGUGGACUUUUUUGGGUGCGAAAGAUGAAAAAGGAGUGGCGUAGGUUGUUUUGAACUAUCGAAUUCUCGUCAGUAGAGAAUCUGCGUUGACAGUUUGUUGCUCUGUGUUUGAUUGAUUUCUUCAGUAGCAUCUGAGCCAAGUUCUGGCAGAAGAAAUCAAUAGGUUUAACAUGCUAGUAAUUGAUUUUGCACUUGUGGACUUGAAUUUUCGGAACCGUGUUUGUUCUUACACUUCAUCUCCCCACCUUUGUCAGUGUUAAUGCGAUUUCAAUUCGUCGC